rnacentral:rRNA from 1 species
UACGUAGGGGGCGAGCGUUAUCCGGAUUUACUGGGCGUAAAGAGCGCGUAGGCGGUUCCGCAAGUUGGUUGUGAAAGUUCGAGGCUCAACCUCGAAACUGCGUCCAAAACUGCGGGGCUGGAGUGCAAGAGAGGCAAGUGGAAUUCCCGGUGUAGUAGUGAAAUGCGUAGAUAUCGGGAGGAACACCAGUGGCGAAGGCGGCUUGCUAGCUUGCAACUGACGCUGAGGCGCGAAAGCUAGGGGAG